UACGUAGGGGGCAAGCGUUAUCCGGAUUCACUGGGUGUAAAGAGAGCGUAGACGGCGACGCAAGUCUGGAGUGAAAGCCCGGGGCCCAACCCCGGGACUGCUCUGGAAACUGCGUCGCUGGAGUACGGGAGGGGCAGGCGGAAUUCCUGGUGUAGCGGUGAAAUGCGUAGAUAUCAGGAGGAACACCGGCGGCGAAGGCGGCCUGCUGGACCGUGACUGACGUUGAGGCUCGAGAGCGUGGGGAGCAAACAGG
rnacentral:rRNA from 1 species